rnacentral:rRNA from 1 species
GUUCAGAUUGCAGUCUGCAACUCGACUGCAUGAAGUCGGAAUCGCUAGUAAUCGCGGAUCAGCAUGCCGCGGUGAAUACGUUCCCGGGCCUUGUACACACCGCCCGUCACACCAUGAGAGUCGGGAACACCCGAAGUCCGUAGCCUAACCGCAAGGGGGGCGCGGCCGAAGGUGGGUUCGAUAAUUGGGGUGAAGUCGUAACAAGGUACC